GCCUGAUUGGCUCAGUUGGAAGAGCAUGAGACUCUUGAUCUCAAGGUCAUGAAUUCAAGCCCCACAUUGGGUG
rnacentral:tRNA from 1 species